rnacentral:sRNA from 1 species
GCCGGGCACGGUGGCACAUGCCUGUAAUCCCAGCAGCUCAGGAGGCAGAGGCAGGAGGAUCAUGAGUUCAAAGCCAGCCUCAGCAAUUUAGCAAGUCUCUAAUCAACUCAGUGAGACCCCGUCUCUA